AGAACUAUUAAAUUGAAGUUAGGAAUGAUAGAGUAACGCCUUGAAACUAACUCGCUAAGACUCCGACAUGCAAUAAAAGAAGUAAUUCUAAUUGUGUGAAGCUCGGUAAAGUCGGGGAAAAUGAACCUAAACUGAAAAUUAUUAAGUAAUGUUGGUACAAAAGAGGCUAGGGCCCACCUGCAAGAAAAAUAAUUAGUAUAGCAUGGUUUGUGAUACCUCGGGCGUCUAUAA
rnacentral:ncRNA from 1 species